UUAUCUUUCCAUUGUCAUUCCCACAGGCAAUAAGCAGAGAGUUCAGAGUCCACUGGAGAGAUGGCCGAGCACGAUCAGCACAGACAGGCCUGAGAUGGAGUCAAGGCCCUGUGAAUUCCUUCUUCAAUAACUGUGUUUAACAAAAUUAAUUAAGUGAGCCAUAGGGCUGAAUGACUGAUUGGAACUUUUCAUAAACUUGCUGCUUGGAUGGAGGACUGGGGCCCACCUGCUUGAACGAGGUGACCCUGGAGGACUGACUCUGGAGAAUCCAAACAAAGGCGUACAGCAUGAAAAAGCAUCCUGAUUUUUCUUCUACUGGCCAAUGGGAUGUUGUGGUGGAAGCUGAGAGGAAGCAAAGUCAUCUGCUCUGACAAUAAUGGGCCGCAGUGGCCCCCACACUGAUUUCAUUUACCAUGUCAGUUUUCCCAGGUUAACCCACACCAAAGUAAAUAGCUGACAUCAGAGAAAUGGAUGAGGUCAUCAGGAGGUGAAUUGAGAAGAAAAAAAGAGGAAAGUUGAUCUUAGCCCUUUGCAAGAUUUAAGAUUUGG